rnacentral:rRNA from 1 species
UAACACAUGCAAGUCGAACGGCAGCGGGUCGUAGCAAUACGGAUGCCGGCGAGUGGCGGACGGGUGAGGAAUACAUCGGAAUCUACCUUGGCGUGGGGGAUAACGUAGGGAAACUUACGCUAAUACCGCAUACGAACCAUGGUUGAAAGCGGCGGACCGCAAGGCGUCGCGCGAUUGGAUGAGCCGAUGUCCGAUUAGCUAGUUGGCGGGGUAAAGGCCCACCAAGGCGACGAUCGGGAGCUGGUCUGAGAGGAUGAUCAGCCACACUGGAACUGAGACACGGUCCAGACUCCUACGGGAGGCAGCAGUGGG